GUGCGGUCAUUGGGUAGAGUAGUCGAGCCAGCGUUAAGUUGGAGCGCGUCGCAGCUCGGCGCUACAGGUGGCGCGGGCGCUGCCGGUGCGGGCCGCGAGUCCCGCAGGAGCCGGCCCGCCCUCGCGCCCUGCGCCCCCGAGCCUGCGCCCCCGAGCCUGCGCCCCGCGCGCCCGCCACCUCGCGGGGAGGCUCGCUACUGGCUUAUGCCUACGGGUGGAGUUUUGAUCGAACCCGGUUCUGAGCAUAUUAAUUAUUUCCGUAUUAAAAGAACUACGCAUGUUGUGUCUGCAGCAGUAACGAGCACCACACGCAGCGACGUCCGUAUGAGCAGGCGCUGGCGGCUACUUAGAGACUAUAAUUAUACACCACUAUUAUCACUGAAAUAUUUGUGUAUGUGUAUAUGGAUUAUUAUGGAUAUACAUACGUAGCAUAUGUAUAUGUACUGCUGUCGCCGCUAGUUUAGAGCAAACACUGCACAAGCUCUUCCCAUUUUUAUUAUUCCAAUGUUUUUAAUUUUCUGCGUAGGUACUAUUGAAGUUUUAAAACCCCUGUUUGUAACGUGCUUUGGCGGUCGUAGCAAAUCAGGCUGGUGAGUGCGGCGUAGCGUACUGUAGCGCCCGUGUCGUCGCCAGCGUAGCGACACUUGCUACGGCUACACCGUAGCGCUCAUGUUAUGACGUGUGACCGGUGUGACACGUCACCACGCGCACACUGCUACCCGCCUGACAGCUGACGGGUACAGGACCGACGCCGAUCUAGAUACCGGAAUUCUACCGAAAAGACACUAGUAUUCCAGUCAGAUCUCACAGUGCCCAUGUGUGGUCAUUACACGACACUGGCGGAAAUUGCUAAAAAAAUUAGCAGAUUGCCAUAAAAAAAA